rnacentral:rRNA from 1 species
AUACCCUAGUACACUUAAAUUUAAUUAGAAACAUUAGAAUAUUAAAAGUUAUGUUCUUUAAAUUUAAAAAAUUUGGCGGUGUUUUAGUCUAGUUAGAGGAACCUGUUUUAUAAACGAUACAACACGCAUUAUUUUACUUAUUUUAGUAGAUCAGCUUGUAUACCGUCAUUAUAAGAUAAUUUAAGAGAGAAUAUUAUUGAGAUCAUAUUAUUGAGUAUAUUAGAUCAAGGUGCAGCUUAUGAGUAAGAAAAUAUGGGUUACAAUAAAAUUUAUUUAAUAUGAAUUAAGUGUUUAAAUAUAUUUAUGAAGGAGGAUUUAAUUGUAAGAGGGGAGUAGUGAGCUUUUCUGAUAAAAGCUCUAAAUUAUGUACAUAUCGCCCGUCGC